AACGAACGCUGGCGGCAGGCCUAACACAUGCAAGUCGAGCGAAGCCUUCGGGUUUAGCGGCGGACGGGUGAGUAACGCGUGGGAACGUGCCCUUUGGUACGGAAUAGCCCCGGGAAACUGGGAGUAAUACCGUAUGUGGUCGAGAGACGAAAGAUUUAUCGCCAAAGGAUCGGCCCGCGUUGGAUUAGGUAGUUGGUGGGGUAAUGGCCUACCAAGCCGACGAUCCAUAGCUGGUUUGAGAGGAUGAUCAGCCACACUGGGACUGAGACACGGCCCAGACUCCCACGGGAGGCAGCAGUGGGGAAUCUUAGACAAUGGGGGAAACCCUGAUCUAGCCAUGCCGCGUGAUCGAUGAAGGCCUUAGGGUUGUAAAGAUCUUUCAGUGGGGAAGAUAAUGACAGUACCCACAGAAGAAGCCCCGGCUAACUCCGUGCCAGCCGCCGCCGUAACAC
rnacentral:rRNA from 1 species